rnacentral:rRNA from 1 species
UACGUAGGGUGCGAGCGUUAAUCGGAAUUACUGGGCGUAAAGCGUGCGCAGGCGGUUAUGUAAGACAGUUGUGAAAAUCCCCCGGGCUCAACCUGGGAAUUGCAUCUGUGACUGCAUAGCUAGAGUACGGUAGAGGGGGAUGGAAUUCCGCGUGUAGCAGUGAAAUCCGUAGAUAUUAGAAGGAAUACCGGUGGCGAAAGCGAACUAUCUAUGCCAUUACUGACACUGAGGUACGAAAGCGUGGGGAGCAAACAGG